rnacentral:rRNA from 1 species
GGCGGACGGGUGAGUAAUGUCUGGGAAACUGCCUGAUGGAGGCCUGGCUCAGAUUGAACGCUGGCGGCAGGCCUAACACAUGCAAGUCGAGCGGUAACAGGAAAGUGCUUGCGCUUUUGCUGACGAGCGGCGGACGGGUGAGUAAUGUCUGGGGAUCUGCCCGAGGGCGGGGGAUAACCACUGGAAACGGUGGCUAAUACCGCAUAAUGUCGCGAGACCAAAGUGGGGGACCUGAAAGGGCCUCACGCCAUCGGAUGAACCCAGAUGGGAUUAGCUAGUAGGUAGGGUAACGGCCUACCUAGGCGACGAUCUCUAGCUGGUCUGAGAGGAUGACCAGCCACACUGGGACUGAGACACGGCCCAGACUCCUACGGGAGGCAGCAGUGGGGAAUAUUGCACAAUGGGCGCAAGCCUGAUGCAGCCAUGCCGCGUGUAUGAAGAAGGCCUUCGGGUUGUAAAGUACUUUCAGCGGGGAGGAAGGAAUUGGCUUGAAGAGAGUUAAUUUUUGACGUUACCCGCAGAAGAAGCACCGGCUAACUCCGUGCCAGCAGCCGCGGUAAUACGGAGGGUGCAAGCGUUAAUCGGAAUGACUGGGCGUAAAGCGCACGCAGGCGGUGAAUUAAGUUAGAUGUGAAAUCCCCGGGCUCAACCUGGGAAUGGCAUCUAAGACUGGUUGACUGGAGUCUCGUAGAGGGGGGUAGAAUUCCAUGUGUAGCGGUGAAAUGCGUAGAGAUGUGGAGGAAUACCGGUGGCGAAGGCGGCCCCCUGGACGAAGACUGACGCUCAGGUGCGAAAGCGUGGGGAGCAAACAGGAUUAGAUACCCUGGUAGUCCACGCUGUAAACGAUGUCGAUUUGGAGGUUGCGGUCUUGAGCUGUGGCUUCCGGAGCUAACGCGUUAAAUCGACCGCCUGGGGAGUACGGCCGCAAGGUUAAAACUCAAAUGAAUUGACGGGGGCCCGCACAAGCGGUGGAGCAUGUGGUUUAAUUCGAUGCAACGCGAAGAACCUUACCUACUCUUGACAUCCUCAGAAUUUGCUGGAGACAGCGAAGUGCCUUCGGGACCUGAGAGACAGGUGCUGCAUGGCUGUCGUCAGCUCGUGUUGUGAAAUGUUGGGUUAAUUCCCGCAACGAGCGCAACCCUUAUCCUUUGUUGCCAGCGCGUGAAGGCGGGAACUCAAAGGAGACUGCCGGUGAUAAACCGGAGGAAGGUGGGGAUGACGUCAAGUCAUCAUGGCCCUUACGAGUAGGGCUACACACGUGCUACAAUGGCGGAUACAAAGUGAAGCGACCUCGCGAGAGCAAGCGGAACACACAAAGUCUGUCGUAGUCCGGAUUGGAGUCUGCAACUCGACUCCAUGAAGUCGGAAUCGCUAGUAAUCGUAGAUCAGCAUGCUACGGUGAAUACGUUCCCGGGCCUUGUACACACCGCCCGUCACACCAUGGGAGUGGGUUGCAAAAGAAGUCGGUAGCUUAACCGAAAGGGGGGCGCUGACCACUUUGUGGUUCAUGACUGGGGUGAAGUCGUAACAAGGUAACCGUAGGGGAACCUGCGGGAGGGCGCUUACCACUUUGUGAUUCAUG